rnacentral:sRNA from 1 species
CGAGAACCCGCUGGUUUAUUGCGACGGGCACGGCUGCAGCGUCGCGGUGCAUCAAGAGAUGUGAACUUUGUCCCCAUAAGGAUGGAGCUUUAAAAAGAACAGAUAAUGGGGGUUGGGCCCAUGUGGUUUGUGCCCUGUAUAUUCCAGAGGUACAAUUUGCCAAUG